ensembl:lncRNA
CUAUGUUCCUCCCCCUCAGUCUUCCCUCCCUCCCCUAUGUUCCUCCCCCUCAGCCUUCCCUCCCUUCCCUGUUCCCCCCUCAGCCUUCCCUCAAUAAGCCUUAAGUUCUAUAAGUUAGUAAAUAAGUUAGAGCCCUCAUUUACUAAAGACACUUAAUUGGUUCAUUAAUAAAUGCAAUCAAGUCAUCACAAUAUCAUAACGAGUCCAAAACGAUCUACUACAGAACAUUGAAACCUGACAAAAAAACAUCUAAAUAAAUUUAAAUGGAUACAAAAAGCUAAAAUCUAAAAUGAUAGAAAUAGAGAUAGCAGAAUGGGGGAGAUGUAGAUUGUCUUUGUUGAAUGGUACAUUGAUUAGUUUAUCGCUUCUAUGAUCACAGUCCUGGUCAGUCAGUCAUCUAUACAUCUGUGCAAAAUGUGUCCAAAUUCACUGAAGCUGAGAUAAUAUGGAUAUUAAAGGGGAAGUUCAGGAUUUUACAACUUAAUGUUAGAUUGUUCCUCACCCUGAAAGUGUUCAAUGGUUCAGGAGAAACUGAAGUCCCUGGUUCGAUUUCUUUUUAAAACAGCCAUUAAAAACUUCAGCUAACUUUAAAAGCCAAAGUCCAAAAUACUGAACGUCCCCUUUAAUGACACUAAGGCUGGGAUUCAUUCAAAUCCUCAUUAGAUCUGCCUCAUGACAUUUAAAGGUCAUUUCCAAUUGAGCUGACAUUAGAUCUGCCUCAUGACAUUUAAAGGUCAUUUCCAAUUGAGCUGACAUUAGAUCUGCCUCAUGACAUUUAAAGGUCAUUUCCAAUUGAGCUGACAUUAGAUCUGCCUCAUGACAUUUAAAUGUCAUUUCCAAUUGAGCUGACAUUAGAUCUGCCUCAUGACAUUUAAAUGUCAUUUCCAAUUGAGCUGACAUUAGAUCUGCCUCAUGACAUUUAAAGGUCAUUUCCAAUUGAGCUGACAUUAGAUCUGCCUCAUGACAUUUAAAGGUCAUUUCCAAUUGAGCUGACAUAAGCAGCGUUUACCGUGAAUGUGGUCUCCACGAACGUGGGAGCAUGGUCUUUAAAAAGGUGCUGGGCCGAUCGGAUUGAAUCCUGGCCUCAAACUGCUGACAACCUCACAGCUGUCUAUACUGUACAUAAAGUUGGCUAGAGGGCACAUGUUCAAUAACGGUUUCUGUUCAUGUGCAUCCUCUAACUCUAUGGUGUCUGUGCCUGCAUACAAAACGGCAACAUUCCCUUUAAAAUGCACUACUUUUGACCAGAGCCCUAUGAGGAAUAUAUAUAUAGGGAAUAGAGUGGCAUUUGGGACGGAGGAUGUUGCCGUCUGUCUGUAUGAGUCCUCGCUCCGCUGUCCUGUUGGAGGGACAUUGUGCUCUUAUCUUGGAACAAAGUAAAGACAAGUUAAAAGGAUAACAACACUAUUCUCUCACACACACACACAGUAGGCUAGUUCCAGCUACAACCUCUUCUCCCUAGAAAAUACAAACGUACACAGUCAGUCGCUGUAAAAGUGCGGAUUACUCGCAGUUUCACUAACUUUUUAUUUGCCAUUUUCAUAUUCCUACUUUUGUUUUCCCAGUAAGAGACAAUAGAGCUUCUGUUUUCCCAGUAAGUAAGAGACAAUAGAGCUUCUGUUUUCCCAGUAAGUAAGACAAUAGAGCUUUUGUUUUCCCAGUAAGUAAGACACAAUAGAGCUUCUGUUUUCCCAGUAAGUAAGAGACAAUAGAGCUUCUGUUUUCCCAGUAAGACACAAUAGAGCUUCUGUUUUCCCAGUAAGUAAGACACAAUAGAGCUUCUGUUUUCCCAGUAAGUAAGAGACAAUAGAGCUUCUGUUUUCCCAGUAAGUAAGACACAAUAGAACACGGACGGUAAAAUUCAGAUGUCCUUUAUGAGGGAAGUUUAAAAAAAUCCUUAAUACAAAAAUUAAAAAUUAAAAGUGCAAAACCACAAAACUAAAAAUAAACAAAUGUGUUGUUUGUGUUCAUUUAAGCUCACCAUGGAAACUAAAAAAACAGUAGCAGCAAAUUAAAAAAAUAAUAAACAAAAAGCAACAAAAUUUGGACGUCUUGUAACACGUUAUCAGGAUAAACAACUCUGGGUUUAAUCUCUUUCCUCAAGAUAUCACUAUGGCAACACACACACACAGUUGGUCACAGUUUACAGGUGGAGGACAACAGGGUGGGAGGAGUCAAGUGUUAAAUCGUUACCUUAUUAAAACAAUCAACAGUGUCACGUAUGGUAAACAAAUAGGUAAACAAACUCAGACACGACACACAAACAGGUACAACUAGAGGCGAGAGGCUGUGAUCUGUAGUUUCCUAACUUUACCUAAGAAUAACAGGUAUUAUUUAAGCCCUAUUUCUCUCCCUCUUAUAAUGAUGACUCGUAUGAACCAAGAGGUUAGUUAUCCCGGUCUAUCUAGACGAGAACAUGAGAAUUAUCUCAUGAUAUUUAUAUGGAAGAAAGCAUUCCUUAGGGAAAAGGACAGAAACCAAAACAUGCUUGGUGGAGGAGAGAUCAGCAGUGAACCAGUGAUCGAGUAACAACAGGAGGAAUAUUAAUUCAUAUAGAAGAUCCUUUACCCCGGAAAAAAACAGCUCUCUCCCAGAAAUAAACAGAGGCUAGACACCUACCUGUCUGUCCCCAACACGCUGUCUGUCCCCAACACGCUGUCUGUCCCUCCACUGACUGUUAAUCCCUUACUGGUAGUGUCGGAGUCUGACUAGUGUAACAGCGCCAUCUACACAAAGCUCUAGGUAUUGCAAGUGUGUGUGUCUUACUGUGGGAGUGUCUGUCAGUCUCUCGGUCUAUGGCUCUCUGUGUGGUGGAUUUUUUUUCUAGUCUGAUUGAAAUCUGUUAAGUCUCUUUCCCUCUUCUGUAGUCUAGCUGGCCUCUACCUACCUCUACUGUAGUCUAGCUGGCCUCUACCUACCUCUACUGUAGUCUAGCUGGCCUCUACCUACCUCUACUGUAGUCUAGCUGGCCUCUACCUACCUCUACUGUAGUCUAGCUGGCCUCUACCUACCUCUCUCUACUAUAGUCUAGCUGGCCUCUCUACCUACCUCUCUACUAUAGUCUAGCUGGCCUCUACCUACCUCUACUGUAGUCUAGCUGGCCUCUACCUCCCUCUCUCUACUGUAGUCUAGCUGGCCUCU